rnacentral:rRNA from 1 species
GAGUUUGAUCAUGGCUCAGAACGUACGCUGGCGGCACGCCUAACACAUGCAAGUCGAACGCAGUAGCAAUACUGAGUGGCAAACGGGUGAGUAUAAUGUGGGAAUCUGCCUUUUGGUUUGGAAUAACACGGGGAAACUUGUGCUAAUACCGAAUAAGCCCUUACGGGGAAAGUUUUGACGCCGAAAGAUGAGCCUGCACUUGAUUAGCUAGUUGGUAAGGUAAAAGCUUACCAAGGCAACGAUCAACAGCUGUUCUUAGAGGAAGACCAGCCACAUUGGGACUGAGACACGGCCCAGACUCCUACGGGAGGCAGCAGUGGGGAAUCUUGCACAAUGGGGGAAACCCUGAUGCAGCGAUGCCGCGUGAGUGAAGAAGGCCCUUGGGUUGUAAAACUCUUUCGUCGGGGAAGAAAAUGACUGUACCCGAAUAAGAAGGUCCGGCUAACUUCGUGCCAGCAGCCGCGGUAAUACGAAGGGACCUAGCGUAGUUCGGAAUUACUGGGCUUAAAGAGCUCGUAGGUGGUUAAAAAAGUUGAUGGUGAAAUCCCAAGGCUCAACCUUGGAACUGCCAUCAAAACUUUUUAGCUAGAGUGUGAUAGAGGUAAGUGGAAUUUCUAGUGUAGAGGUGAAAUUCGUAGAUAUUGGAAAGAACACCAAAUGCGAAGGCAACUUACUGGGUCACUACUGACACUGAGGAGCGAAAGCAUGGGUAGCGAAGAGGAUUAGAUACCCUCGUAGUCCAUGCCGUAAACGAUGUGUGUUAGACGUUGGAAAUUUAUUUUCAGUGUCGCAGGGAAACCGAUAAACACACCGCCUGGGGAGUACGACCGCAAGGUUAAAACUCAAAUGAAUUGACGGGGACCCGCACAAGUAGUGGAGCAUGUGGUUUAAUUCGAAGAUACGCGCAGAACCUUACCAACACUUGACAUGUUCGUCGCGACUCUAAGAGAUUAGAGUUUUCGGUUCGGCCGGACGAAACACAGGUGCUGCAUGGCUGUCGUCAGCUCGUGUCGUGAGAUGUUGGGUUAAGUCCCGCGACGAGUGCAACCCUCACUUUUAGUUGCCAUCAUUAAGUUGGGCACUCUGAAAGAACUGCCAGUGAUAAGCUGGAGGAAGGUGGGGAUGACGUCAAGUCCUCAUGGCCCUUACGUGUUGGGCUACACACGUGCUACAAUGGUAUCUACAACAGGAAGCAAGACUGCGAAGUUAAGCAAAUCCCUAAAAGAUACCUCAGUUCGGAUUGCACUCUGCAACUCGAGUGCAUGAAGCUGGAAUUACUAGUAAUCGUGGAUCAGCGUGCCACGGUGAAUGCGUUCCCGGGUCUUGUACACACCGCCCGUCACACCAUGAGAGUUGGUUUUAUCUUAAGUCAGUGCGCUAACCUUCGGGAGGCAGCUGCCCACGGUACGGCCAGCGAUUGGGGUGAAGUCGUAACAAGGUAACC